AUUGGCUGAAAAUUGCCCUAGCUGUAGCUGUGACCACAGGUGAGAUUCGGCACCUACAGUCUGGAGCUUCAGCUCACCCCUCACUCCAUGGUGUGGGGAUGUGAAACCCAGGCCCUGACAGCA